ensembl:lncRNA
GAAGGGGUUUCUUUGGCAUGGCUGUGAAAAACCUUUUGAAGCACCUUUAUUUUUAAGAGUGUACUGUGGGGAAGUCCUGAGCCUUUUGACUAAUGAGAAAUCUCUUUGUGUUGGUGCUCUCUCUCCUUGCCAGGCUUGGAGGGUGAUUGUAUUUGUAAUUAAGCAAACAAUCAAUACGCAUCAAGAAUUCCUGACGCAUCGGUGUUAACAGCACUAGCAUUAGCGAUUGCUAAUUCCCUGCAAAGUGGCUCCAUUGUCAGGUGGGCAGGCGGGGACAUUAGAUUUUGGACAAGGAGAGAGAAAACUCUGGUCCGGUAAUUAUGGUUUCAAGUGGCCACACACAAGACCAAUGCUUUUCUGUUCCAAUGGGUAAUAAGUAGACCUCUGUUGCCAUGGAAACAGUGGAGUCCAAAAACACUACCAGACCCCAUAGGAACGGGUUUUUGUCAGCUGUAAACACAUAAGACAUGAAAACACCCAUCCUCACACAUUCUUUAGCC